rnacentral:rRNA from 1 species
UACGUAGGGUGCGAGCGUUAAUCGGAAUUACUGGGCGUAAAGCGUGCGCAGGCGGUUUUGCAAGUCAGAUGUGAAAGCCCCGGGCUCAACCUGGGAAUUGCAUUUGAAACUACAAGGCUAGAGUGUGUCAGAGGGGGGUAGGAAUUCCACGUGUAGCAGUGAAAUGCGUAGAUAUGCGGAGGAACACCGAUGGCGAAGGCAAUCCCCUGGGCCUGCACUGACGCUCAUGCACGAAAGCGUGGGGAGCAAACAGG